rnacentral:rRNA from 1 species
UACGAAGGGAGCUAGCGUUGUUCGGAAUCACUGGGCGUAAAGCGCACGUAGGCGGAUGUGUCAGUCAGGGGUGAAAUCCCGGAGCUCAACUUCGGAACUGCCUUUGAUACAGCACGUCUUGAGUCCGAUAGAGGUGGGUGGAAUUCCUAGUGUAGAGGUGAAAUGCGCAGAUAUCAGGAGGAACACCGGUGGCCGAAGGCGGCUUCUGGCCGAGUACUGACGCUGAGGAGCGAAAGCGUGGGGAGCGAACAGG